GUAGGGAAUAUUGGGCAAUGGAGGCAACUCUGACCCAGCCAUGCCGCGUGCAGGAUGACGGCCCUCUGGGUUGUAAACUGCUUUUAUCUAGGAAUAAACCUACUUACGUGUAAGUAGCUGAAUGUACUAGAAGAAUAAGGAUCGGCUAACUCCGUGCCAGCAGCCGCGGUAAUACGGAGGAUCCAAGCGUUAUCCGGAUUUAUUGGGUUUAAAGGGUGCGUAGGCGGCCUAUUAAGUCAGGGGUGAAAGACGGUAGCUCAACUAUCGCAGUGCCCUUGAUACUGAUGGGCUUGAAUGAACUAGAGGUAGGCGGAAUGUGACAAGUAGCGGUGAAAUGUUUAGAUAUGUCACAGAACACCGAUUGCGAAGGCAGCUUACUAUGGUUUUAUUGACGCUGAGGCACGAAAGCGUGGGGAUCAAACAGGAUUAGAAACCCUGGUAGUCC
rnacentral:rRNA from 1 species